rnacentral:rRNA from 1 species
AGCGGAGGAAAAGAAACCAACAGGGAUUGCCUUAGUAGCGGCGAGUGAAGCGGCAAUAGCUCAAAUUUGAAAUCUGGCACCUUCGGUGUCCGAGUUGUAAUUUGAAGAAGGUAUCUUUGGUUUUGGCUCUUGUCUAUGUUCCUUGGAACAGGACGUCACAGAGGGUGAGAAUCCCGUGCGAUGAGAUGCCCAAUUCCAUGUAAAGUUCCUUCGACGAGUCGAGUUGUUUGGGAAUGCAGCUCUAAGUGGGUGGUAAAUUCCAUCUAAAGCUAAAUAUUGGCGAGAGACCGAUAGCGAACAAGUACUGUGAAGGAAAGAUGAAAAGAACUUUGAAAAGAGAGUGAAAAAGUACGUGAAAUUGUUGAAAGGGAAGGGCUUGAGAUUAGACUUGGAAUUUUCCAUUUAUGGAGCUUUCCGGGCCAGCAUCAGUUUGGAUGGCAGGAUAAUUGCGUUGGAAAGUAGCACCACUUCGGUGGUGUGUUAUAGACUUCGUCGAUACUGCCUAUCUAGACUGAGGACCGCGUCUUUGACUA